GAUGAACGCUGGCGGCGUGCCUAAUACAUGCAAGUCGAGCGAACGGACGAGAAGCUUGCUUCUCUGAUGUUAGCGGCGGACGGGUGAGUAACACGUGGAUAACCUACCUAUAAGACUGGGAUAACUUCGGGAAACCGUAGCUAAUACCGGAUAAUAUUUUGAACCGCAUGGUUCAAAAGUGAAAGACGGUCUUGCUGUCACUUAUAGAUGGAUCCGCGCUGCAUUAGCUAGUUGGUAAGGUAACGGCUUACCAAGGCAACGAUGCGUAGCCGACCUGAGAGGGUGAUCGGCCACACUGGAACUGAGACACGGUCCAGACUCCUACGGGAGGCAGCAGUAGGGAAUCUUCCGCAAUGGGCGAAAGCCUGACGGAGCAACGCCGCGUGAGUGAUGAAGGUCUUCGGAUCGUAAAACUCUGUUAUUAGGGAAGAACAUAUGUGUAAGUAACUAUGCACAUCUUGACGGUACCUAAUCAGAAAGCCACGGCUAACUACGUG
rnacentral:rRNA from 1 species